rnacentral:lncRNA from 1 species
UCAAUUCUCUCAGUAUAUUAAGUAAUGUAUCAGACAACCAAUGAAUGUAUUCGAGAGCAAUAAAAAAUACGAUUUUUUUGUAAUUGAGGAAGCUUUCGAGAUAAGAUGUAAUUAGCCCCAAUUAUAUGGGAUUUCUGUAAGUUAUACAAAUUUUUAUGUAUAAAUUAUAGGAACCACAUAUUAAAAGUACUAAAUAACAUCUCAUCCCUUUUAGUUUUCUAUUUACCAAAAAUCUCUUAAAAAUGAUGUUUGCGGGAUACAUAGCAUUGUGCACGGGAUACAUUAGGUUUGAUACACUUCACAUAGC